rnacentral:rRNA from 1 species
AAAUUGAAGAGUUUGAUCAUGGCUCAGAUUGAACGCUGGCGGCAGGCCUAACACAUGCAAGUCGAGCGGUAGCACAGAGAGCUUGCUCUCGGGUGACGAGCGGCGGACGGGUGAGUAAUGUCUGGGAAACUGCCUGAUGGAGGGGGAUAACUACUGGAAACGGUAGCUAAUACCGCAUAAUGUCGCAAGACCAAAGUGGGGGACCUUCGGGCCUCAUGCCAUCAGAUGUGCCCAGAUGGGAUUAGCUAGUAGGUGGGGUAAUGGCUCACCUAGGCGACGAUCCCUAGCUGGUCUGAGAGGAUGACCAGCCACACUGGAACUGAGACACGGUCCAGACUCCUACGGGAGGCAGCAGUGGGGAAUAUUGCACAAUGGGCGCAAGCCUGAUGCAGCCAUGCCGCGUGUGUGAAGAAGGCCUUCGGGUUGUAAAGCACUUUCAGCGGGGAGGAAGGCGGUGAGGUUAAUAACCUCAUCGAUUGACGUUACCCGCAGAAGAAGCACCGGCUAACUCCGUGCCAGCAGCCGCGGUAAUACGGAGGGUGCAAGCGUUAAUCGGAAUUACUGGGCGUAAAGCGCACGCAGGCGGUCUGUCAAGUCGGAUGUGAAAUCCCCGGGCUCAACCUGGGAACUGCAUUCGAAACUGGCAGGCUAGAGUCUUGUAGAGGGGGGUGGAAUUCCAGGUGUAGCGGUGAAAUGCGUAGAGAUCUGGAGGAAUACCGGUGGCGAAGGCGGCCCCCUGGACAAAGACUGACGCUCAGGUGCGAAAGCGUGGGGAGCAAACAGGAUUAGAUACCCUGGUAGUCCACGCCGUAAACGAUGUCGAUUUGGAGGUUGUGCCCUUGAGGCGUGGCUUCCGGAGCUAACGCGUUAAAUCGACCGCCUGGGGAGUACGGCCGCAAGGUUAAAACUCAAAUGAAUUGACGGGGGCCCGCACAAGCGGUGGAGCAUGUGGUUUAAUUCGAUGCAACGCGAAGAACCUUACCUGGUCUUGACAUCCACAGAACUUUCCAGAGAUGGAUUGGUGCCUUCGGGAACUGUGAGACAGGUGCUGCAUGGCUGUCGUCAGCUCGUGUUGUGAAAUGUUGGGUUAAGUCCCGCAACGAGCGCAACCCUUAUCCUUUGUUGCCAGCGGUUAGGCCGGGAACUCAAAGGAGACUGCCAGUGAUAAACUGGAGGAAGGUGGGGAUGACGUCAAGUCAUCAUGGCCCUUACGACCAGGGCUACACACGUGCUACAAUGGCAUAUACAAAGAGAAGCGACCUCGCGAGAGCAAGCGGACCUCAUAAAGUAUGUCGUAGUCCGGAUUGGAGUCUGCAACUCGACUCCAUGAAGUCGGAAUCGCUAGUAAUCGUAGAUCAGAAUGCUACGGUGAAUACGUUCCCGGGCCUUGUACACACCGCCCGUCACACCAUGGGAGUGGGUUGCAAAAGAAGUAGGUAGCUUAACCUUCGGGAGGGCGCUUACCACUUUGUGAUUCAUGACUGGGGUGAAGUCGUAACAAGGUAACCGUAGGGGAACCUGCGGUUGGAUCACCUCCUUACCUUAAAGAA